GUGCUUGCUUCGGCAGCACAUAUAAAAUUGGAACAAACAGAGAAGAUUAGCAUGGCCCCUGCGCAAGGAGGACACUCAAAUUCAUGAAGCGUUCCAUAAAACA